rnacentral:lncRNA from 1 species
GAUAACCAGCAAAAUGGCAAAGGGAGGCAGGAAAACCACCAGCAGGGAGGCCAGUGUGGGUUUAAGGUGGUGGCAUUCCCCAGCCCUGCCUGGCACCAGCCUCCCAAGCCUGGGACCUGGGGGCUCCCUGCCUCCUUCCAGAUGGACGAAGUGAGACCAGGACCUCAGACUGGGGGCUCCCUGCUGAGUCUGUGGCCCUGAGGGCUGUUCAGCUCUAAGCGUGGGCGCACGGACAGGCCAGACGGGGCGGUAUUGCUCUGAUCGCCCUGCAGGAAUCACAGCCAGAUGGGGGCUUCCCAAGCGCUGCCCACCUGGCUGGCACGCAGGAGGAAGUGGCAUAGACUGGGGAGGAGGAAGCACUCUCACUCCUGCUGGAGCCUCUUCUCCAGCAGGAACCCCGAUUGGCCCAGCCAUCCCUGGGGAGCCCCAUCCCACGUGCCCCGCACCCCGUGUCUGUCAGCACCGAUCAGGGUCUCCCAGACACCUGCUCUGGGGUUGCCAUGGGGACGAGCGGCAGGGUGAGUGUGGCGCACACAGCUGUCUGUGGACACACAAAGGGCAUGCACACAUGUGUCUGUGCUCACCUGCACGUGUUCACAUGGACUGGGCACCGCCGGAGGUGUCCACACAGCAGUGUACACGGACCCCCCUGCAGAUGUGCACACACCCAGCAAGGCAUGUAUGUGUUCUCGCACCAGGAAGUGGGUCACGCCCCACACCACACACCGUACACUCUGUCCCUGGAGCACGCACCUGCCUGGGUGCACCAGGCAGUCUAAGCCCAUGUCGCCUAUGUGUACAUGUAUGUGCAAAUACCUACUCAGGCACACCAGUGUGUGUACACGGCUGCCAGGCACACUGGGCAGUCCAAGCCCAUGUCACCUAUGUGUACACGCCUGCCCAGGCUCUUGGAAUCAGGCACUUUCUGAGGCUGCCCCGAUGGGCGUUCCCUUCCCCAGCCAGUACAUCCUCUCUUCCUAACCCCACGUCUGCUGGACUCUGAAGGUGUCCACGCGGCCAUGAACAUCUCCAGGGCCUGCACUGCCCACCACCAGGACCCCAGCGGAACCCAGCAUCUGGUCACUAGGGAUCUGCGUGGGCAGUCACUUCCUAGGGGCCUGUACCCCUUAAGGAGAGUGAAGGAUGGGCCGGCCCAGCUGGGGCUGAAUCCUCACAGCCUUGUUCACGGGAGAGGCUGACCUGCGCCCAUUUUACAGACAACAAAACUGAGGCUGAGAGAGUAACAGCCCGGCCAGCACACGGCAGAGCGUGGCGCAGGCCCAGGCCGGCCUUGUGAGGUCCCUGCUGUUCCCUGCAGGGUACAUAGAGGCGGAAGCUGAUGCAGCCCCCACUGGGCGUUCUUUCACUUUCUCUCCUUUGAUUCCACAGUCCUCAGACCUAGGAAUUAAGGAAACGUCCCUAGUUUCCG